rnacentral:rRNA from 1 species
AGAGUUUGAUCAUGGCUCAGGAUGAACGCUAGCGGCAGGCCUAAUACAUGCAAGUCGAACGGUAAGAUCUCGCUUGCGAGAUACACGAGUGGCGCACGGGUGAGUAACGCGUAUGCAACCUACCUUUAACUGGAGGAUAGCCCCGAGAAAUCGGGAUUAAUACUUCAUAACACUAUGAAACGACAUCGUUUUAUAUUUAAAGCUCCGGCGGUUAAAGAUGGGCAUGCGUGACAUUAGAUAGUUGGUGAGGUAACGGCUCACCAAGUCCACGAUGUCUAGGGGUUCUGAGAGGAUUAUCCCCCACACUGGUACUGAGACACGGACCAGACUCCUACGGGAGGCAGCAGUAAGGAAUAUUGGGCAAUGGACGAAAGUCUGACCCAGCCAUGCCGCGUGCAGGAUGACAGGACUAUGGGUCGUAAACUGCUUUUAUAUGGGAAGAAACUCCGCUACGUGUAGCGGACUGACGGUACCGUACGAAUAAGGAUCGGCUAACUCCGUGCCAGCAGCCGCGGUAAUACGGAGGAUCCAAGCGUUAUCCGGAUUUAUUGGGUUUAAAGGGUGCGCAGGCUGACUAAUAAGUCAGUGGUGAAAUCUCUCGGCUCAACCGAGAAACUGCCAUUGAUACUGUUAGUCUUGAGUACAGUUGUAGUGGGCGGAAUAUAGCAUGUAGCGGUGAGAUGCUUAGAUAUUACACAGAACACCGAUUGCGUAGGCAGCUUACUAAGCUAUAACUGACGCUGAUGCACGAAAGCGUGGGGAGCAAACAGGAUUAGAUACCCUGGUAGUCCACGCCGUAAACGAUGAUCACUCGUUGUUGGCAAUACACCGCCAGCGACUGAGCGAAAGCAUUAAGUGAUCCACCUGGGGAGUACGGUCGCAAGAUUGAAACUCAAAGGAAUUGACGGGGGCCCGCACAAGCGGAGGAACAUGUGGUUUAAUUCGAUGAUAUGUGAGGAAUCUUACCUGGGCUUAAAUGUAAGACGACAGUCCCCGAAAGGGGACUUUCCUUCGGGACGUCCUACAAGGUGCUGCAUGGUUGUCGUCAGCUCGUGCCGUGAGGUGUCGGGUUAAGUCCCAUAACGAGCGCAACCCCUAUUCUUAGUUGCCAUCAGGUAAUGCUGGGGACUCUAGGAAAACUGCCUACGCAAGUAGUGAGGAAGGUGGGGAUGACGUCAAAUCAGCACGGCCCUUACGUCCAGGGCUACACACGUGCUACAAUGGCCGGUACAGAGGGCAGCUACCUGGUGAAUGGAUGCAAAUCUCGAAAAUCGAUCUCAGUUCGGAUCGGAGUCUGCAACUCGACUCCGUGAAGUUGGAAUCGCUAGUAAUCGUGGAUCAGAAUGCCACGGUGAAUAUGUUCCCGGGCCUUGUACACACCGCCCGUCACACCACGAAAGUCGGUUGUACCAGAAGUUGCCGGGCUAACCCAAAAGGGGGGCAGGCACCCAAGGUAUGGCUGGUAAUUGGGGUGAAGUCGUAACAAGGUA